rnacentral:rRNA from 1 species
UACGUAGGGUGCGAGCGUUAAUCGGAAUUACUGGGCGUAAAGCGUGCGCAGGCGGUCUGUUAAGACAGAUGUGAAAUCCCCGGGCUUAACCUGGGAACUGCAUUUGUGACUGGCAGGCUAGAGUAUGGCAGAGGGGGGUAGAAUUCCACGUGUAGCAGUGAAAUGCGUAGAGAUGUGGAGGAAUACCGAUGGCGAAGGCAGCCCCCUGGGUCAAGACUGACGCUCAUGCACGAAAGCGUGGGGAGCAAACAGG